UUCACUGGAAGGAUUGACAAGGCUUUCAUAAAGUGUUAGAACCUCACAUCUGUCAAUAUUUUUGGCCAGCAGGUUCAGAGGUUGUCAGUACAGAUCACACAGACACACAGAGCCUAAUCAGAAAAGUUGAAUUGCAUUGGUAACAGUGGGCUUUAAAGAAAAGUAGAGACUGGCAUAAAAAUGUUUAGCUGGAAACUGGAAGUGCAAGAAAGGACUAGUAUUACUCAGGGAGUGUGAGACAAUUUCCCUGGUCUUCCCAUCACUCCCUAAAGUUUGUAUGGUUGUUGCUGGGAUACUUUGGGCUGCUAGCAUGGGACAGAACAGAGAAAUCUGAUCUGGGGAUGUGUCCCACAAGCCAGGCAGAGAGAGAACAGUGGGAACACCAAGAGAAGGGUUCUCAUCCUGGAGAGGAGAAGACAACAAUGUGAUGUCUCUGUUAACGUGCCUGUUUGAAGCUCUCCAAUCAGCAAUGACCCAGGAAACCACAAACUCUCCAUUAAUGGCUUUACUACUGAUGAUUUAGAGGGUACUUCUUGGAGAAGUCAGAGAGAGUCUCUGGGAGAUGCUGCUUUUGAGUUUGUUAUUCUACAUGGUGGAGUGAUCAUUGAAACAAAACAACUUCUGCUGACAGCAGGCACCUUAGGUUACACAUUAAAAUUUCUGAUGUGCUAUGGAUGAGAGGAUAUCAGGCACCUGUGUUCUCUCCAGUGUCUCCUGAUUUGAAGCUUGGACUGGGAAUAGAGGAAUUUUCUGGCUCUGCCCAUGAGUGUGGUCUGCUCCAGGAAAACCUGCUGAGUGCUAUCCUCACCAGUUGUCUCAGAGAACAAGAAGCUGCAUAUUUCUACACAGCAGCAGAAAUAUAAGCACCCACAUUUGUAACAUCUAUCUUCCUUCAUAUUACCACCCUGUAGCAGAAUAAGAGGAGGGUCUCAAAGGUACCUCCUUGAAUGGACCAUUGUCUCUUCAAUUCUUCAAAACUGUGCCAUAAUUUCCUGACCUGUAUGUACCAGCUUUUUCUUCAAGCACAUCUCCUCUACACAGAAAUAAUCUUAAUUUCCUCAUGUCUCGCCUCCUCCCUUCUUCCCAUCACAGCUCCUUUGUUCCUUUUCCAAGCCUUAGGUUGGUCAAACAAUAUCUGCUGCAUUCCCUAUGGCUGGGGGGCUCAUCAUGUCAGAUGCCAUGACCCAUGGGGACCUCAAAAUGAGAGCCAAAUACAUUUGUACUGCCACUCCCUGACUAUGGUUUAAUAUUGUGGGCAAGGAAGGGCACCCGUGUGUUCACCUGAAGCAGAGAGGGCAGACAUAAAUAAUUUACAGCUGAGUUUUAGAUGUAAAUGACAUUGCAGACUGCAUGCAAAUGUAACAGCACCUCUGCACAGCUGUGUUUACAGAUACUCACCAGCACUAAAACAGGCUUACCUACCAAAACCUCAUUCUCAGCAAUUUUCCUUGCUAAUUAGGAGGCCCACCAGAGCCAUUGGAGCAAGAUCCUGGCAGUGCUUUCAUGCUGCAUUUUGCACACAAUAUUUUGUCAUCUGCUUCAGGGGGAAAGGUGGGGGAUACAGUUUGAAUUGCACUGCUCACAUCCAAAAUAUACAUCACUUUAAAAUUAGUAAUUAUUUCUGACCUAUUCUGGCAUCUCUGGGGAUGGCUUUCAAAGCACAUGGAAAGAAACACAGGAAGAGAUGGCCCAUCCAAAGGAGCCAAGACAUCAUGGAACAAAGAUGGUUUCAAUUUGCCUUCAACCCAAAGGGUUUCAGGAAAACACAGUUUAUUCAACCAGGAACAGAGUUCCUCUCUCAUCAGAAACAACAGAAGAUGUCUCAUAUCUUCCUCCUGGGAAGCAAUUUCAAAUAUUUGUGAGGUAAGAAAUCAUUCCCGGCUGAUGUUUUAACUACACUUUGAGCUGCUAGACUUUGUUUCCUGCCAGAUUGCUUCAGCUUUUCCUUCCUUGCUGCCAAGCCCUGCUUCCAUGCCAUCUAGUCUAGCCUGGCCACUUCUCCUUCCACCCUCUGCAGCCUGGUAAAAGGACACCCCUGCUCCCAGGAGUGACCACAGUGAUGCCAAGGGAGCUUGGCCUUGGCCAUUGCUCCCAUCAUGGACUCAAAACUUUCUGAGCCCUGGGUUGAAGUGAUUUGACAGGGAGGAGUAGCUCAGCAGCCUGCAAUUGCAGUAGCAAUGAAAGAAGCCAGGCAGCAGAACCACAAAUGUACAGCUGAGGUAAAUGACAACACUGGCACAGAAUUUAGCACUGGAACUCCUCAAAUGGCAGCUGCAGAGCUGUCAGAACUCAGUUCAAUCCUUCGGGUGUCCACAUUUGCCAAGAACCCCGCCGGGGGGCUUGGAGACCCGGGCAUGCAGCCCAGAGCACCUGGGGAUUUGAUUUUGAAACCUGG